AUAUGUCAUGUGCACAGACACCCCAGCCCACGCCUCCUAUUUAGCCACCUAGGAGAAAUGAAAAGGUAGGGUCACUCGAAAAUCUGUACAGGCGUAGCUUGGCUUAGAAUCACCAAAACCUGGAAACAACCCAGAUGAAGGGAUAACCUCACUGCGGUAUAUCCACGCGGUGGAGCACUAGGGAACCCUGGAAAGGACCAGCUUUGCCCUGUGCCAUGACGUGGAUGAAUCUUAGUUGUAAACUGACACAAUCCUAUUUGGAAGAAACUGAAAAUGAAAGGACUUGAGAAUAGCAGUGGCCUACGAGGAGGAGCCAAGAACACAAUUUUAUAUAAAACUUUCCAGCGAUACAGACAGAGGAUGUAUACACGCACGCAGCUCUUGUGUAAAUCAUUAGAGACAGAAAGUAGACUGAUGGUUGCCUGGGGCUGGAGCUAAGGCGGGCUGGAAAGAGCGGAGACUGCUAAGGGGUCCGAGCUCCCUCUGGGAAUACGGACAUGUGCUGGAUCUAGAUUGAGCCUGCAGAAACACAGAAGGCUCUUCCACUUGGUGUGUGGCUACAGUUUCGUUUCUGAGCUAGCAAAGAAACGCCUGAGACCUGCUGCAGACACCCAUUCACCUGUGUGGCUUCAGAUCCCACCAAGUUCGCUGGCACCGUCCCCUCAGCCACCGAGAUACUGAAACCCCAAUACCAGUUGCUCGAGCUUCUUGUGGCAGAGAAAUAUAUGUUCCUUAACAGAAGCAGUAAAUGAUAACAAUUUAGCUGGUAGAAAAAUGAUACGCAAUGCCAGGCUUUGCCUGUGUCGUACUAAAAGCUGCACUGACUUACUACUGGUUUUACUGU